GACAGAGGUGCCGAGCGUUAGGCGGAAUCACUGGGCUUAAAGCGUGUGUAGGCGGAUCUGUAAGUACCUUGUGAAAUCCCACGGCUCAACCGUGGAACUGCUUGGUAUACUGCGGGUCUUGAGCCACCUAGGGGCAAGUGGAACAAACGGUGGAGCGGUGAAAUGCGUAGAUAUCGUUUGGAACGCCAAUGGUGAAAACAACUUGCUGGGGGUGUGCUGACGCUGAGACGCGAAAGCCAGGGGAGCAAACGGG
rnacentral:rRNA from 1 species